CAUAGCAACUGUGCUUUGCAGAAUGACCAGUGGAGACUUGCUCUGGACGUGGAUCAAGACUGUGCGGUAAAGUAGCAUACGGUCUGAAGUACAUCUGCUUUAUUUGCUGUAGAGGUUGGAAAGUAUGAAGACAAUGAGUCAGGGGACUGGAGGAACAGAAAAGCCUGACUGCCUUCUUGGGGGAGCAGACUUCUCCUCUUGCCUCUGCCACACUGUGCCUGCAUGAUGUCAGGCGACUGGUGUCUACCACAGGAAAGGCAGUGAGGAAACUGAUAGCCAUAUCUGCAGAGCACGGUUUGAACAUUGUGCAACAAGUUAAGCCUGGAAUCACACAUUAAGCAGAGGACAGAACUAAAAUCAUCAUUACUUGUGUGCAGCUCAUCCGGUGCACUGAAGGAAACCGAAGCUCAUUGGAAAAAAUAGCAUGCAGACGGUGACUGAAGACUGUCAUAAUGCAAGCACAUAAAGGCUACAAAUAAAGGUUGCACAAGCAUCCUCAU